GGAGGGUGCGAGCGUUAAUCGGAAUUACUGGGCGUAAAGCGCGCGUAGGCGGCUAGGUCAGUCGGAUGUGAAAGCCCCGGGCUUAACCUGGGAAUUGCAUUCGAUACUGCUGGCUAGAGUAUGGGAGAGGGAAGUGGAAUUUCCGGUGUAGCGGUGAAAUGCGUAGAUAUCGGAAGGAACACCAGUGGCGAAGGCGACUUCCUGGCCCAAUACUGACGCUGAGGUGCGAAAGCGUGGGUAGCGAACAGGGAUUAGAUACCCUGGUAGUCCACGCCGUAAACGAUGAGAACUAGAUGUCGGGAGGAUUUGCCUCUCGGUGUCGCAGCUAACGCGUUAAGUUCUCCGCCUGGGGAGUACGCCGGCAACGGUA
rnacentral:rRNA from 1 species